UCUCUGAUUCUGCUACAUCUUGGACUGCUAGUAACCAAGGAGGAAGAAGCAAAGUUCACUUCUCAGUGCUAAUAAUCAACUGAUUACAUUGGAGAUUGGAUGCAACCAAAAACUGAAGGGUACACAGUUAGUACUGGUUAUUCUAACCACAGGGUUCUAAUGAAAAUGAAAUGAACUUCUACCAGACUGCUGAAGAGUCCAGUCAUCUUCUGGUUUUCUGAGUGUGGGAAACUUCAAGCAGAAUGGGUGAGAAGACUGUAUAAACUCCAGAUGGCUAAGAAGACAACAGUCCUGCACCAUCCACAUGUCAAAGCCAAAAUCAAGCUUUCAAGGGAAAUCUAAGAAACAGAAGCAAAAGAGAUAAGAAAGCCCUGUGAAGCACUGAUGGUGACAGCCCAUAUGACUUCAGUUCAUCUGAGACCUUCCUAUUGUGGAUUUUUCUCACCUUCACAUAAAAGGGCUGGCAGCAGGCAAAUUUAUAGUUUCCUUCAUCACUAAAUCCACAAGUCUGAUCUGGCUGUGGAAAUCUGCAAUGAGGACUGGAAA